rnacentral:rRNA from 1 species
CCUGGCUCAGAUUGAACGCCGGCGGCAUGCCUUACACAUGCAAGUCGAACGGGUCUUUGGGGCUUGCUUCAAAGAUUAGUGGCGAACGGGUGAGUAAUGCAUCGGAACGUACCCAGUCGUGGGGGAUAACGUAGCGAAAGUUACGCUAAUACCACAUACGUCCUGAGGGAGAAAGCGGGGGAUCUUCGGACCUCGCGCGAUUGGGGCGGCCGAUGUCGGAUUAGCUAGUUGGUAGGGUAAAAGCCUACCAAGGCGACGAUCCGUAGCUGGCCUGAGAGGAUGAUCAGCCACACUGGGACUGAGACACGGCCCAGACUCUUACGGGAGGCAGCAGUGGGGAAUUUUGGACAAUGGGGGCAACCCUGAUCCAGCCAUGCCGCGUGAGUGAAAAAGGCCUUCGGGUUGUAAAGCUCUUUCAGACGGAAAGAAAAGGUCUCGGUGAAUAAUCGAGGUCGAUGGCGGUACCGUCAGAAGAAGCACCGGCUAACUACGUGCCAGCAGCCGCGGUAAAACGUAGGGUGCGAGCGUUAAUCGGAAUUACUGGGCGUAAAGCGUGCGCAGGCGGUUGUGCUAGACAGGUGUGAAAUCCCCGGGCUUAACCUGGGAACUGCGCUUGUGACUGCACGGCUAGAGUACGGCAGAGGGGGGUGGAAUUCCUGGUGUAGCAGUGAAAUGCGUAGAGAUCAGGAGAAACAUCGAUGGCGAAGGCAGCCCCCUGGGCCUGUACUGACGCUCAUGCACGAAAGCGUGAGGAGCAAACAGGAUUAGAUACCCUGGUAGUCCACGCCCUAAACGAUGUCGACUGGUUGU